ACGGGUGAGUAAUACAUCGGAACGUGCCCAGAUGUGGGGGAUAACUACUCGAAAGAGUGGCUAAUACCGCAUAAUAUCUACGGAUGAAAGCGGGGGAUCGCAAGACCUCGCGCGUUUGGAGCGGCCGAUGGCAGAUUAGGUUGUUGGUGGGGUAAAGGCCUACCAAGCCUGCGAUCUGUAGCUGGUCUGAGAGGACGACCAGCCACACUGGGACUGAGACACGGCCCAGACUCCUACGGGAGGCAGCAGUGGGGAAUUUUGGACAAUGGGGGCAACCCUGAUCCAGCAAUGCCGCGUGCGGGACGAAGGCCUUCGGGUUGUAAACUGCUUUUGUACAGAACGAAAAAGCUCUUUCUAAUAAAGAGAGUCCAUGACGGUACUGUAAGAAUAAGCACCGGCUAACUACGUGCCAGCAGCCGCGGUAAUACGUAGGGUGCAAGCGUUAAUCGGAAUUACUGGGCGUAAAGCGUGCGCAGGCGGUCUUGUAAGACAGAGGUGAAAUCCCCGGGCUCAACCUGGGAACUGCCUUUGUGACUGCAAGGCUGGAGUACGGCAGAGGGGGAUGGAAUUCCGCGU
rnacentral:rRNA from 1 species